rnacentral:rRNA from 1 species
AGAGUUUGAUCCUGGCUCAGAUUGAACGCUGGCGGCAGGCCUAACACAUGCAAGUCGAACGGUAACAGAAAUCAGCUUGCUGAUUUGCUGACGAGUGGCGGACGGGUGAGUAAUGUCUGGGAAACUGCCUGAUGGAGGGGGAUAACUACUGGAAACGGUAGCUAAUACCGCAUAACGUCGCAAGACCAAAGAGGGGGACCUUCGGGCCUCUUGCCAUCGGAUGUGCCCAGAUGGGAUUAGCUAGUAGGUGGGGUAACGGCUCACCUAGGCGACGAUCCCUAGCUGGUCUGAGAGGAUGACCAGCCACACUGGAACUGAGACACGGUCCAGACUCCUACGGGAGGCAGCAGUGGGGAAUAUUGCACAAUGGGCGCAAGCCUGAUGCAGCCAUGCCGCGUGUAUGAAGAAGGCCUUCGGGUUGUAAAGUACUUUCAGCGGGGAGGAAGGGAGUAAAGUUAAUACCUUUGCUCAUUGACGUUACCCGCAGAAGAAGCACCGGCUAACUCCGUGCCAGCAGCCGCGGUAAU